rnacentral:rRNA from 1 species
CUUGGCGACCAUAGCGUUUUGGACCCACCUGAUUUCCAUGCCGAACUCAGAAGUGAAACGAAAUAGCGCCGAUGGUAGUGUGGGGC